AUUGAACGCUGGCGGCAGGCCUAACACAUGCGAGUCGAGCGGAGGAAGGGAGCUUGCUCCUGGAUUCAGCGGCGGACGGGUGAGUAAUGCCUAGGAAUCUGCCUGGUAGUGGGGGAUAACGUCCGGAAACGGGCGCUAAUACCGCAUACGUCCUGAGGGAGAAAGUGGGGGAUCUUCGGACCUCACGCUAUCAGAUGAGCCUAGGUCGGAUUAGCUAGUUGGUGGGGUAAAGGCCUACCAAGGCGACGAUCCGUAACUGGUCUGAGAGGAUGAUCAGUCACACUGGAACUGAGACACGGUCCCGACUCCUACGGGAGGCAGCAGUGGGGAAUAUUGGACAAUGGGCGAAAGCCUGAUCCAGCCAUGCCGCGUGUGUGAAGAAGGUCUUCGGAUUGUAAAGCACUUUAAGUUGGGAGGAAGGGCAGUAAGUUAAUACCUUGCUGUUUUGACGUUACCAACAGAAUAAGCACCGGCUAACUUCGUG
rnacentral:rRNA from 1 species